CAUUAUACAAUGAACCGUGGUCUGGUAAUUGAGCCACUUCAAAUAAGUAUCUCGAAUCGCACCACGAGCAUUAGGAGCAGGCUUCUCAGGUGUCGGAUCUAUAAUAACAUACAUGAUCUGCUCGUGCUCUAGAAUGAUUUUUAGUUUUUGAUAUCAGCUAUCGAAAUUGGGUUCUGUUAACUUCUUACUAUCCGACAGU
rnacentral:lncRNA from 1 species